rnacentral:rRNA from 1 species
GACAUAGGUGGCAAACGUUAUCCGGAAUUAUUGGGCGUAAAGGGUGCGUAGGUGGUUCAAUAAGUUACUGGUGGCAAAUCGGGCCCAACCCCGUGGAAGUCGGUAAUACUAUUAAACUAGAGGAUCGGAGAGGUUAACGGAAUUCUAUGUGUAGCGGUAAAAUGCUCAAAUAUAUAGAGGAACACCAAACGGCGAAGGCAGUUAACUAUUCGGUGCCUGACGUUGAGGCACGAAAGCGUGGGAGCAAGACGG